GAGCGUUAAUCGGAAUUACUGGGCGUAAAGCGCAUGCAGGUGGUUUGUUAAGUCAGAUGUGAAAGCCCGGGGCUCAACCUCGGAAUAGCAUUUGAAACUGGCAGACUAGAGUACUGUAGAGGGGGGUAGAAUUUCAGGUGUAGCGGUGAAAUGCGUAGAGAUCUGAAGGAAUACCGGUGGCGAAGGCGGCCCCCUGGACAGAUACUGACACUCAGAUGCGAAAGCGUGGGGAGCAAACAGGAUUAGAUACCCUGGUAGUCCACGCCGUAAACGAUGUCUACUUGGAGGUUGUGGCCUUGAGCCGUGGCUUUCGGAGCUAACGCGUUAAGUAGACCGCCUGGGGAGUACGGUCGCAAGAUUAAAACUCAAAUGAAUUGACGGGGGCCCGCACAAGCGGUGGAGCAUGUGGUUUAAUUCGAUGCAACGCGAAGAACCUUACCUACUCUUGACAUCCAGAGAACUUUCCAGAGAUGGAUUGGUGCCUUCGGGAACUCUGAGACAGGUGCUGCAUGGCUGUCGUCAGCUCGUGUUGUGAAAUGUUGGGUUAAGUCCCGCAACGAGCGCAACCCUUAUCCUUGUUUGCCAGCGAGUAAUGUCGGGAACUCCAGGGAGACUGCCGGUGAUAAAGUACUUUCAGUCGUGAGGAAGGCGGGGACGUCGUUAAUAGCGGCAUUGUUUGACGUUAGCGACAGAAGAAGCACCGGCUAACUCCGUGCCAGCAGCCGCGGUAAUACGGAGGGUGCGAGCGUUAAUCGGAAUUACUGGGCGUAAAGCGCAUGCAGGUGGUUUGUUAAGUCAGAUGUGAAAGCCCGGGGCUCAACCCCAUGAAGUCGGAAUAGCAUUUGAAACUGGCAGACUAGAGUACUGUAGAGGGGGGUAGAAUUUCAGGUGUAGCGGUGAAAUGCGUAGAGAUCUGAAGGAAUACCGGUGGCGAAGGCGGCAAAAGAAGUAGGUAGUUUAACCCCUGGACAGAUACUGACCACUUUGUGGUUCAUGACUCAGAUGCGGUCGACAGAG
rnacentral:rRNA from 1 species